UCAGUCAGCAUCUCAUGUGGUCCCGGCUGCCCUCUAAUUCAGUAUGGAGCUGAAAAUGACCUUGAACUUCUGGUCGUCCUGCCUCCAGCUCGCUAGUGCCAGGAUUACAGGUUCUGAGGGCCCCUCAGCCACUCAUUCAAUGAAUACUGAAUUCUGAGGACCUGUCACCCACCUAGCAGAUGGCAAUGGAUUCAGGCAAUGCAGGACUUGCUGAAGAUUCUAACCUCCAGCUCAUCAUUUCUCAACCAUCCCUGAAGACCAGUGCUUAAUGGCCAGCAAAAUAAUUAAUGUUCUUAUUGGACUUGUGUGGUUAGGCAUGGACACCAGCAGAUGACAAGUGAAGUCCAGAAUGGACCCAGUGCUGACUGCAGAGAUGAUGGUGCGUGCAGCUGACCCCAUAUGGAUGACUUGGGAAAUCUCUAAGCCAGAUGAAGAUUCUGCUCUGUCAGAUUCAUGUGGACUAAUAUGCUGGCCAGCUGCUUCCUUGUAAAUGUCACUGGGGGUUGGGCUUUGAGGUUUUAGAAACUCAAACCAGACCCACUGGCUCAUUCACUCUUCCUGCUGCCUGCACAUCCAUAUGUAGAACACUCAGCUAUCUCUCUAGCACCAUGACUACAUGCAUGCCACCAUGCUCCCCACAAUGAUGACAAUGGACUAACCUCUGAACUGUAAGUCAGUCCCAAAUAAAUAUUUUCCUUAUAAAA